GACGGGGGGGGCAAGUGUUCUUCGGAAUGACUGGGCGUAAAGGGCACGGUAGGCGGUGAAUCGGGUUGAAAGUGAAAGUCGCCAAAAAGUGGCGGAAUGCUCUCGAAACCAAUUCACUUGAGUGAGACAGAGGAGAGUGGAAUUUCGUGUGUAGGGGUGAAAUGCGUAGAUAUGCGGAGGAACACCGAUGGCGAAGGCAGCCCCCUGGGUCAAAACUGACGCUCAUGCACGAAAGCGUGGGGAGCAAACGAGG
rnacentral:rRNA from 1 species